UACAGAGGUGCCAAGCGUUAGGCGGAAUCACUGGGCUUAAAGCGCGCGUAGGCGGAUGUUUAAGUGUCUUGUGAAAACCCGCGGCUUAACCGUGGGCUUGCAGCUGAUACGGGGCGGGCUAGAGUUCGGUAGGGGAGACUGGAAUUCCUGGUGUAGCGGUGAAAUGCGCAGAUAUCAGGAGGAACACCGAUGGCGAAGGCGGCAUCCUGGACCGGCAUUGACGCUGAUGAGCGAAAGCCAGGGGAGCAAACGGG
rnacentral:rRNA from 1 species